CCUACUGGAGGCAGCAGUGGGGAAUAUUGCACAAUGGGCGAAAGCCUGAUGCAGCAACGCCGCGUGAGCGAUGAAGGCCUUCGGGUCGUAAAGCUCUGUCCUCAAGGAAGAUAAUGACGGUACUUGAGGAGGAAGCACAGGAUAACUCCGUUCAAGCAGCCGCGGUAAUACGUGGGGGGCUGCCGUUAUCCGGAUUUACUGAGCGUAAAGGGUGCGUAGUUGGUUUCUUAGGUCAGAGGUGAAUGGCUACGGCUCAACCGUAGUAUGCCUUUGAAAAUGGGGAACUUGAGUGCAGGAGAGGAGAGUGGAAUUCCUAGUGUAGCGGUGAAAUGCGUAGAGAUUAUGAAGAACACCAGUUGCGAAGGCGGCUCUCUGGACUGUAACUGACACUGAGGCACGAAAGCGUGGGGAGCAAACAGGAUUAGAUACCCGAGUAGUC
rnacentral:rRNA from 1 species